rnacentral:rRNA from 1 species
UACGUAGGGUACAAGCGUUGUCCGGAAUUAUUGGGCGUAAAGAGCUCGUAGGCGGUUUGUCGCGUCGGCUGUGAAAACCUGGGGCUCAACCCCGGGCCUGCAGCCGAUACGGGCAAACUAGAAUUCGGUAGGGGAGACUGGAAUUCCUGGUGUAGCGGUGAAAUGCGCAGAUAUCAGGAGGAACACCGGUGGCGAAGGCGGGUCUCUGGGCCGAUAUUGACGCUGAGGAGCGAAAGCGUGGGGAGCAAACAGG